rnacentral:lncRNA from 1 species
CCGGCUGCCGGGUAGGGGCGGCCAUGCGGCACCACGAAAGUGAGCUUGACUGGAGCAACCCUGGCACAGGCCUUGGCAUCAACUCAUUCACUCCAGAAACCACUUGGAAGACUUAGACAGGAGGCUUGCUUGCUUGAGUUCUUGAGUUGGAGGUUGGUGUAGAUAAAACAGUAAGAUUCAAUCUCAAAAACAAAUAAGUUAAAUAAACAGAAAGAGACGAGAAGGAAGAAGGAAAGGAGAAAACAGAAAGAAAGAAGGGAAAGGAAGCCAAGGAUGUUUCGUGGCCCAGUUGAUAGAGUGGAGCUCAAAUGGAAAACCCAACUUUCUCAAAGCUGAAAGCAACUGUGUUAUGCAGACAAUACAAAAAUUGUGAUUUUCACUUUAGUUUGUUUCAGACUUUGGUGUUAUGAACAAUAUAAGGCUUGAUGACUUAAAAAAAUGUAUUGAAACAGUUUUUAUAAGAGGUAUCCAGGUCCACUUGAAAUAUCUCCAUGGAGCUGGGGAAAUAACUCCCAGGUCCAUUGUUCGCCUAAGAUGGAAGAGGUCCUAUGUUCAAUCCUUGACACCAAAGUUUGAAUACGACACUGCGACAUUAUGAACUUUACAAGUGUGGGAACCUACUAAAAGUUAUACUCAACCCUGGAUGCCAUCCAAAGCACAACUGAAGACUCAGGUAUUUCUUAAUCUACAAACGAAAUGCUCCCUCCCCAGGGCCUCUGCGCUUAUCAUCCCAUCGAUGAAAUUAUGGGAUGACUUUUGCUCAAAUUAUUCAAGCUUCUGAACUUAGAAUCGGACAUUUUUACAAUGCUCUGUUAUGACUGUAUAGAUUCUGUAGUUCACUAGACCAGAUAACAGCGUGCCCUGUAAUGAGGCUCUCCCUUAUCUUGAAAAAAUGCAAACACAACAAAUAGGCACGGAGUUAGAACAUGGACAUUUUAUCUUUUGUUUUUAUUGAGGUCUCCAUGUAUAGACCACCCCGUUCUCUGCUCCCGUGCUCAAGAGAUCCUCCUGCUUCAGACACCAAACAGCUGGCGCUCUAGGAGGCUGGAAGCUGAGGGCCGGCCGCCAUCAGCAUGUGAGGGACCUGCUGGCGCUGGCUUUCCUCCCAAACUGCUUGCCUAAGCUUUGUCCCUUUCUCCUUAUCUGGCUGCAUCUCUCUCACAACAGAAGGGGACUUGGAGUGCACUCUUUAUUGCCCUCAGGAAUGUCAGCUCUUUAUUCUUUGACCUCAUCAUACUUUGGACCUCUCUCAGGUUGUUUAUGUACAUCUGAUUCCCAGCCC